rnacentral:rRNA from 1 species
UGCCAGACUCCUACGGGAGGCAGCAGUGAGGAAUAUUGGUCAAUGGGCGGGAGCCUGAACCAGCCAAGUCGCGUGAGGGAAGACGGUCCUACGGAUUGUAAACCUCUUUUGCCGGGGAGCAACGGGGUCCUUGCGAGGGCCCGAUGAGAGUACCCGGAGAAAAAGCAUCGGCUAACUCCGUGCCAGCAGCCGCGGUAAUACGGAGGAUGCGAGCGUUAUCCGGAUUUAUUGGGUUUAAAGGGUGCGUAGGCGGAAUGCCAAGUCAGCGGUAAAAGCGCGGGGCUCAACCCCGGCGAGCCGUUGAAACUGGCGGGCUGGAGUUGGAGAGAAGUACGCGGAAUGCGCGGUGUAGCGGUGAAAUGCUUAGAUAUCGCGCAGAACCCCGAUUGCGAAGGCAGCGUACCGGCUCCACACUGACGCUGAGGCACGAAAGCGUGGGUAUCGAACAGGAUUAGAUACCCCCGUAC